CUUCCGUAGGUGAACCUGCGGAGGGAUCAUUACCGAGUUUACAACUCCCAAACCCCUGUGAACAUACCUAUACGUUGCCUCGGCGGAUCAGCCCGCGCCCCGUAAAACGGGACGGCCCGCCCGAGGACCCCUAAACUCUGUUUUUAGUGGAACUUCUGAGUAAAACAAACAAAUAAAUCAAAACUUUCAACAACGGAUCUCUUGGUUCUGGCAUCGAUGAAGAACGCAGCAAAAUGCGAUAAGUAAUGUGAAUUGCAGAAUUCAGUGAAUCAUCGAAUCUUUGAACGCACAUUGCGCCCGCCAGUAUUCUGGCGGGCAUGCCUGUUCGAGCGUCAUUUCAACCCUCAAGCUCAGCUUGGUGUUGGGACUCGCGGUAACCCGCGUUCCCCAAAUCGAUUGGCGGUCACGUCGAGCUUCCAUAGCGUAGUAAUCAUACACCUCGUUACUGGUAAUCGUCGCGGCCACGCCGUUAAACCCCAACUUCUGAAUGUUGACCUCGGAUCAGGUAGGAAUACCCGCUGAACUUAAGCAUAUCAAUAAGCGGAGGAA
rnacentral:rRNA from 1 species